ACAGUUUGUUAUUGACAAAGGACAGCUGGACAUAUAAAGGGCCCCAUUACCUUCAGUAGCUUAGGGCCUCAUCAAACCUAAAUCCGGCCCCAUGGGUGACACCCCUUCCAGCACCACUUUCCCCUGUCAGAACAGGGACAAGACUAUAUUGUUGUUUUUGUUAUUCAUCACUUAUUAAUUUUGUCAGCCCAAAGCCAUAAAACGCAGUAGAGAAAAUCAAGGCGGAAUAAAAUACAUUACAAGGAUAAAAUAAUCAUUGAAACCAGACGUUCGGUCAGACGGAGAGUUUGCUUCCCUGGAGAAUGUAACUUGCCGUCUCCACAGUCAUUUCUCCUCAAAGUUGCUGCUCUUUGGCAAAACAGGCCAAUUUUUCAGAGGUGUCUGGGAGGGCUGUCCCGUAAUAAAAAGGUGAUGGAAUACCCAAUCGAUCUUCUCGUUGGGAGUUUUAAAUAAUUGAAUAAGGCUGCUGGAGUCCUUGAAUAGAUUGGGCAAACCAGCAAGGAAUGAGGCGGGGUCAGCCCAAGACAUCUUGGCACCUGAGGCAGACCCCAAAAUGGCACCUCCCCCCCCCCCGGGAAGAUUUACAUCAGGAAUAGGGGGGUGAAUCCUGUCGCCUGGCAGUCACCUUACCUCAUGGGUGAGCCGGCACUGUAGAGGGAUAAACCCUCAGACACACCACAUCCCCAUGAGCAAGCUCUCUGCUCAUAGGGGAUCCUGCAACAGCGUCCUUCAACUAUGGCAAAGUGCAUUGACUGGAGCCGCAGGGCAGUGAAGCCUUAAAAACUAGGAACUGACACUUGUGGGAAUAUAAAUGCAAUAAAUAAUAAUAGUUAUUUCAAAGAGUGGAGGGUAAAAGUGCACCCUGCCACCCUGUACUCCUGUGCACUCCAAAGACCACUGUGUGGUUCCUAAUUAAGGCUCACUGGAGCCCUGAACAGGAGCACCACAACUUUCUGUUGGCAGUCACUACUCGUCUCAGGCUUUCCCAAGCUGGUGCCCUCCAGAUGUUUUGGACUGAAGCUCAUAUCAGCUCCAGCCAGCAAACCUGUUGUAGUCCAUCUGAAGGGCACCAGCUUGGGAGAAGGCCAACAUCUACUGUUGCAAUUAUAAGAAGUUGGUUUUUGUUUUAAAAUCUGAUGUACAAGCUUUUCCAAAAUGUAAAGUUAUCACUUUUUAACCUUGACAAGUUGUGGGCACACCAAGGAGUCACAUCAGGAGGCUGAUUACGACCAGGUUAUGAUUAUGAAGAUUCUGAUUUAAUGCAUUUGAGCAAAAAUACCUUUCUGUAAUCCUUAAACAACCCUGUAAGAUAGAUCAGCAUUAUCUCAGCUGCAAAGGUCGGGGGGGCAGGGGGUCUUGCUCAAGGCCACCUACAGCUUACAUCCCAGACUUAUCUUUGGCUGUGUACACAUUACCAUUUACUGUGGCUCCAGAGCGUGUACGCAUGACACUUCCCACAAUCCAUAUCUAUUUCAAAGUUUAUUGAGAAAUGCUGCUGUUUAAUACAUUUGCCCUGAAACCAGUUUCCCACCAUGUCAAAAACAUAAUCCACAUUCACUUUUCAGUUAAGCUGAGGUGUGUGCAUUUGAGACGGUUGUUGCACUUGAGCAGAUGACAGCUUUGUGGAUAAGAGUUGCAGGCAAGGGGAAAUCAACAGGUAAUUCACAUCAGAUGAAGACAUCAGACCUAAACCCUUUAUCUGGUAUGUACAGCAAUGUGCUAAAAUGAUGUGAAACACAGCAGGGGAGCAUGACCUCAAUGUGUUUUAAUCCACUAAUGUCUACAUAGCCUGUGUCUUAUGGGGUUUACUCUGAGAGCAGUGUGUGCAUAGGAUUCUGACAUUAGUGAGCUUUUAGCAGAUGUUAGAAUUGAACCAUGGACUUCCUGAGUCAUAGCUGUUUUAAAUAAGAAACAAAGGUAAUCAUUGAUUAAUGGUCAUAACACCAUGAUAUUCUUCACAGCAAUUUUCUUUUCAAAGUAGGUCUGCCAAAAUAAUGCCGGUAUUAUAGAAUCGUAGAAAUUGGAAGGUACCAUGAGGGUCAUCUCUUCCAAGCCCCUACAAUGCUAGAAUCCUAUUGUUUUUCUACAAACAACAAAUGGGUAGUUUAAAAAGACCCUACCAUCAGAAACCAUUUCCUCCAUUAAAUGCAUAGUUUGGAAAACUAUGACGACACACUCAUUGAAGACUGUUGGGACGCAACAAGAAUAAUAAACCAAACAAACAACGAACUCUGUAAUAUUAUUUCCUUGUGGUCUCAAAAUAUGAGCAACCCAUAAAAAUCAUGAACAGGUGACAACCCUAUCAUUAAAAUUUACAGUGUAAUCCUUAUGAUUAUGAUUAUUAUUAACUAUUAAACAAUCAACAUUUCUUACAUAACAGCACAUAACAAUAUAAGAUUUACACCACACACUACAUCCUUACAAUCUACAACUACUUUUCAAAGAAAGAGGAAAAAGGAAAAUAAAGAAAAAGGUAAAGAUAAAAAAUUAAAGUAAUUAAAAUAUAAUUCCGAUUAUUCUCAUUGUACUAUUUCUCAUUUUGUUAUUUAUCACACAGUGCCUUAUUGUUGUUCUGUUUUCCAAAAUCUUAUCAAAGAAGUUCUAUUGUUUUUCACCUUUAUAUUACAAGAGUCACUCAAGAUCUGCCAGGAGGUUUUUGUUAUCACAAUAGUUUUUUUAAUAUUCUUUAAAUACUAUCCAUUCCUUAUUGAUCUUCUGCAUCGGGUAUCCUCUAACUCUCACUGUCAUCCUUGCCAGUUAUAAGUAUUGUAUCAUUUUAACCUGCCAUUCAGUUUUUGUAUGGGGUCUUUUCACUUUUCCAAUUCUUUGCCACCAGGAUCCUGGCUGCUGUUGUUGUGUACAUGAAGAGUGGUCUGCUAUUUUUUUAAAUUUCUGUUGACAUUAUUCCUAAAAAGAAGGCUUCUGGUCUGGUCUCUUUGCAAAUGGGAAUUUUAGCAUCUUUUUUAAUUCAUUACUGUAUAUAUGAUGUCCCAAAACUCUCUUAUACUCUUACAUUCCCACGACAUAUGCAUAUAUGAACUUUUACCCUUUUUGCAUCUCCAGCACACCUCUGAUCUAUUUUAAUACAAUUUGGUCGGGGUAAGGUGCCAUCUGUACAUCAUUUUCAUGAUGUUCUCUCUAAGAUUAUAGCACGCUGUAAACUUCAUGUCCACCUUCCAUAAUUUCUCCCACUGGUUCAUGUGAAUAUUAUAUCCAGGUUCUUGGGCCCAACGCACCAUCACCCCUUUCUUUUACCUUUUCUUUUACCUCCCACUCAAGAUAUGUUGUUGUUGUUGUUUAGUCGUUUAGUCGUGUCCGACUCUUCGUGACCCCAUGGACCAAAGCACGCCAGGCACUCAAGAUAUAGAUUGUACAUUUUGAAAUAUAUUUUCCUUUGGAUUGGAUUAGUUCUUUUUCCAAAUCUGAUGUCUUAUUUUUAAAUCCUUUUUUUAAUCUAUACUUAAUCUUUCAUUUAAUUGAAAAUAUUGUAACUAAUCCGUCAGGUACAACCUAAUUUCUUCAAACUUCUUCAGCGUCAAUUUGUUAUUGUUUUCUUCUAAUAUUCUAUACAUUGGCCAGUCUCCUUUCAUAUUUUUCUUUUUUACUGCCAUGGCUUCUGUCGGUGAGGUCCACCAGGGGGUCUUAGGUUCUAGUAUUUCUUUAUAUUUUCUCCCAUAUUCUAUAAGGGGAUUUUCUCACUACAUGGUUUUUAAAAAAACUGUGUACUGUCAGCUUCUCAUAGACUAAAUAUGUGUGCCACAAAAAUAAAAUCCACUGAAUUAAAUGGGAUUUACUCCAUAGUGUGUUUAGGAUCGUAGUCUUAAUUUAAAAAAUGAAAUUAAAAAAAAGCUUUCCUUGCACUUGUGGCUGUGAAUGCCUAUUUUAUUCAGUUGUAUUUUAUCCUUUUCAGAUACUCCCCAAACAGCUCUGAGACUUUGGUAAUCAUCCAGUUUUGGUUAACCUGUUCAGAGGAGAGGAUUGAUCACAUCAGGUCAAUUACCUACUUAGUUCAAUCUGUUAUAAAACAAGAGUGACCUCAGAACUGAAAGCCUCUCUUCUAUCUGAGAUGCAUUGGUGACACUUUCCUAUCACAGGCCUUGGGAGGCAGGCUGUACUUUAUUUCAGACAGCCCAUUACCCUAAAAAUACCUCUUCAUGAGUAACAGGCCAUAUAGCAGAUAUGUGGACCAGAGGGACCAGACGCUGUGGCAGAGCCAGAUACCAACUCUAUUCCCAUAUCUAGUUUAACAUAAUUAUUACAGGAGCUAAGAAUGUCAAUAGAACCUGAGGGGCUAAUUCACCUGCUCAUCUUCCAAAGUAAUAUAUGCCAUCAUUUGCCAAGAAUGACCUUCUAGCUGAUCUAUGCAAAAGAAUGAAUGAGCACAAAUCUGAAAUGGCUGUAUAGAAAAGCCAAAGAGGGAACAUUUCAGCUUCUCAGGAUGCUCUGUCACUGACCUUAAGGUGUUCAUUAUUGAAUGAAGUGGCCUCAAACCAUGAGACCAUUGUAUUACAAUGCACCAGUGCUAUUAUUUGCAGGUGGAAUCAAUACAAUAGGUGCUGGGUUUACGUUUUUUAAAACCACACUGGAUGUGCUAAAAACUGACUUACCAGUGCAAGGAUGUCUGUGUUAUCAACUACUGUUUUUGGUGCAUCAUUGCAGUUUAAAAGGUCAUUGUCCUCAACUGUAUAAUUCAGCAUUUAGUUUCCCUCUGAUCUCUUUUUACAAGCUCCCUACCAAUUGUGUCCCUGCAACUCAGGAUAAUACUUUAUGCAUCCAAUGAAGUGAAUUAUAUUGUGUGUGUCAUAAUAAUUUUUUUAAUCUUUCAGGUGCUACAAGACUCUUCUGUUGGUUUUGCAGAAUUGAAAAGAUUCGCCCUGCACCAAUUUUACAAUGAUUGCUUACGGAUUGAAAUGGUGAUCUGAAAAAGCCAUUGUGAAAUGGGUACUAACUUUUGUGCUAGAUUCUACUGCCUCAAAUGAAUGGCAUCUCAGCCUGUGGUCUUUAUCUUGCAGGUCAUGAUUACAACAUCUUAUUGUGCUUAACUAAGAAAGAAACUCUGAUCUCCCUCACCCCCGCUUUGUGAAACACCUUGUCUGGUGAAGAGUUCUGGAGAGCUUGCCAUACUUGUUUGGCAUUCCUGUUGGUUUCAAUAAACACAUUACCCUACUGUGGAUUGUGGAGUUGUUGUUGUUGUUGUUUUCUAAUGGGCCAGCAUGCCUACUUUUGCUUUUAAUUGGGCUUAUUUACAAUGGAUAGAGUACUCUUUAUCUCCAAGAGAGAAAGCAGCUUUUUUUUGCUUUUUUUUAGGGAUGAGGGACAUACAGAAUCAGUAUAGACUGAGUGCAUCUUCUGAAGGCAAGGAUAUGGUUGGUUUGUUAGCUAUUUUAUUCAUAGAUCUCUCGUAUCACAUCUAAUUUGUGCAUAUGUGACCACCUUUCUGAAUUUGAGGUCUGUUUAGGAGAAUGCCAGGUUUUCCAAGCAUUCUGCUCUACACUGUAGCCAACCAUAUCACUAUGCAAUACCAAAAGCAGGACACAGGUCAGGUGAGUACCCUUUUGCCCUGUUCUUUCCCAGCAAUUGAUAUGCCUCUGAUAGCAUAUAUCCAUAACGAUUAGUAGCCACUGAUAGUCUUAGCAUUCAUGAAUUUGCCUAAUCUCUUGAGAAAGCCAUCUAGGUUGGCAGCCAUAAUCACAUCUUGAGUAAUUCCAGGGCUGUGCUUACUUACACA